rnacentral:rRNA from 1 species
AGAUUGAACGCUAGCGGGAUGCUCUACACAUGCAAGUCGAACGGCAGCGCGGACUUCGGUCUGGCGGCGAGUGGCGAACGGGUGAGUAAUAUAUCGGAACGUGCCCAGUAGCGGGGGAUAACUACGCGAAAGCGUGGCUAAUACCGCAUACCGCCCGUACGGGGGGAAAGGGGGGGAUCGCAAGACCUCUCACUAUUGGAGCGGCCGAUAUCAGAUUAGCUAGUUGGUGAGGUAAGCUCACCAGCGACAUCUGUAGCUGGUUAGAGAGGACGACCAGCCACGACGUGGGACUAGAGACCGACGGCCCAGACCUCCGUACGGGAGCAGCGAGGUAGGGUAACUUUGGAACAACGUAGGGGAAACCCUGACU